rnacentral:rRNA from 1 species
GACGUAGGGCGCGAGCGUUGUCCGGAUUUAUUGGGCGUAAAGGGCUCGUAGGCGGCUCGUCGCGUCUGCCGUGAAAGACCAUUGCUUAACUGUGGUUUUGCUGUGGAUACGGGCGGGCUUGAGGCCAGUAGGGGAGAUCGGAAUUCUACGUGUAGCGGUGAAAUGCGCAGAUAUGUGGAGGAACACUGGUGGCGAAGGCGGAUCUCUGGGCUGGUUCUGACGCUGAGGAGCGAAAGCAUGGGGAGCGAACAGGAUUAGA